AAAGAAAGUAAGCAAGGGCGCAUGGCGGAUGCCUUGGCUCUCGGAGGCGAUGAAGGACGUGAUAAGCUGCGAUAAGCUUCGGGAAGGUGCAAAUAACCUUUGAUCCGAAGAUUUCCGAAUGGGACAACCCGUCAUUCUGAAGGAAUGACAUCUUGCAUAGCAAGAGGCUAACGCAGGGAACUGAAACAUCUUAGUACCUGCAGGAAAAGAAAAUAAUAAUGAUUCCCCAAGUAGUGGCGAGCGAACGGGGAUUAGCCCAAACCAAUGUUGUUACGGCAAUAUUGGGGUUGUAGGACCACGAUGUCGCAAGAACUUUAGUGAGAAGAAUUCUUUGGAAAAUGAAACCAUAGACGGUGAUAGUCCGGUAUUCGAAGCUAAACGAAGCGUAGUGGUAUCCUGAGUAGCGCGGGACACGAGGAAUCUUGCGUGAAUCUGCCGGGACCAUCCGGUAAGGCUAAAUACUCCCGAGAGACCGAUAGCGAACCAGUACUGUGAAGGAAAGGUGAAAAGCACUUCGAAUAGAAGAGUGAAAUAGUCCCUGAAACCGUGCGCCUACAAGCGGUCGGAGCAGCGUAAGCUGUGACGGCGUGCCUUUUGCAUAAUGAACCUACGAGUUACUUUUUCCGGCAAGGUUAAGCAUUUCAAAAUGUGUAGCCGAAGCGAAAGCGAGUCUGAACAGGGCGAUUAGUCGGAAGGAGUAGACGCGAAACCAAGUGAUCUACCCUUGGUCAGGUUGAAGGUUAGGUAACACUAACUGGAGGACCGAACCGAUAAGCGUUGAAAAGCUUCCGGAUGAACUGAGGGUGGGGGUGAAAGGCUAAUCAAACUUGGAGAUAGCUCGUACUCCCCGAAAUGCAUUUAGGUGCAGCCUUGGGAAUUACUACUGUGAGGUAGAGCGACUGAUAAGAUGCGAGGGCUUCACCGCCUAUCAAGUCUUGAUAAACUCCGAAUGCGCAGUAGUUCGAUCCCAGGAGUGAGGGCAUGGGUGCUAAGGUCCAUGUCCUAAAGGAGAAGAAUCCGGACCAUCAGCUAAGGUCCCGAAAUAAUUGCUAAGUUGAACUAACGAAGUCAGAUUGCUAAGACAGCUAGGAUGUUGGCUUGGAAGCAGCCAUUCAUUUAAAGAGUGCGUAACAGCUCACUAGUCGAGGAGUUUGGCGUGGAUAAUAAUCGGGCAUUAAGCAAUUUACCGAAGCUAUGGGAUCAGUAAUGAUCGGUAGGGGAGCAUUCCACUCUGCGUCGAAGGUGAAGCGUGAGCUUUGCUGGAGCGUGUGGAAAAGCAAAUGUAGGUAUAAGUAACGAUAAAGGGGGUGAGAAACCCCCUCGCCGAAAGACUAAGGUUUCCUGAUCAACGCUAAUCGGAUCAGGGUUAGUCGGGUCCUAAGGCUCAGCCGAACGGUGAGGCCGAUGGCAGAACAGGUUAAUAUUCCUGUACUACCUUAAAGAGUGACGUGGAGACGGAGCAGUGAUAGCGCCGCGGACUGACGGAAUAGUCCGUUGAAGGGUGUAGAUGUUGAUCUUUGCAGGCAAAUCCACAAAGAGAGUCGAACCUGAUAGUAU
rnacentral:rRNA from 1 species